rnacentral:rRNA from 1 species
GAAAGCUUGCUUUCUUUGCCGGCGACCGGCGCACGGGUGAGUAACACGUAUCCAACCUGCCCUUUACUCGGGGAUAGCCUUUCGAAAGAAAGAUUAAUACCCGAUAGCAUAAUGAUUCCGCAUGGUUUCAUUAUUAAAGGAUUCCGGUAAAGGAUGGGGAUGCGUUCCAUUAGGUUGUUGGUGAGGUAACGGCUCACCAAGCCUUCGAUGGAUAGGGGUUCUGAGAGGAAGGUCCCCCACAUUGGAACUGAGACACGGUCCAAACUCCUACGGGAGGCAGCAGUGAGGAAUAUUGGUCAAUGGGCGCUAGCCUGAACCAGCCAAGUAGCGUGAAGGAUGAAGGCUCUAUGGGUCGUAAACUUCUUUUAUAUAAGAAUAAAGUGCAGUAUGUAUACUGUUUUGUAUGUAUUAUAUGAAUAAGGAUCGGCUAACUCCGUGCCAGCAGCCGCGGUAAUACGGAGGAUCCGAGCGUUAUCCGGAUUUAUUGGGUUUAAAGGGAGCGUAGGUGGACUGGUAAGUCAGUUGUGAAAGUUUGCGGCUCAACCGUAAAAUUGCAGUUGAUACUGUCAGUCUUGAGUACAGUAGAGGUGGGCGGAAUUCGUGGUGUAGCGGUGAAAUGCUUAGAUAUCACGA